UGUCUGUCCACCCGCCUAAAAAGCGGGUGUUAGCAAGGGCCGGGCAAGACCGGUGCCAGCCGCCGCGGUAAUACCGGCGGCUCGAGUGGUGGCCGAUAUUAUUGAGUCUAAAGGGUCCGUAGCCGGCUUUGCAAGUCUCUCGGGAAAUCCAGCGGCUUAACCGUUGGUCGUCCGGGGGGUACUACAUUGCUUGGGACUGGGAGAGGUAGGAGGUACUCAGGGGGUAGGAGUGAAAUCCUGUAAUCCUUUGGGGACCACCGGUGGCGAAGGCGUCCUACCAGAACAGGUCCGACGGUGAGGGACGAAAGCUAGGGGCACGAACCGGAUUAGAUACCCGGGUAGUCCUAGCCGUAAACGAUGCUCGCUAGGUGUCACAACAGUCGUGAACUGUUGUGGUGCCGUAGGGAAGCCGUGAAGCGAGCCACUUGGGAAGUACGACCGCAAGGUUGAAACUUAAAGGAAUUGGCGGGGGAGCACCACAACGGGUGGAGCCUGCGGUUUAAUUGGACUCAACGCCGGGAAGCUUACCGGGAUCGACAGUUGUAUGAAGGCCAGGCUGAAGACCUUGCCGGACUAUCUGAGAAGAAGUGCAUGGCC
rnacentral:rRNA from 1 species